rnacentral:rRNA from 1 species
UACAGAGGGUGCGAGCGUUGUCCGGAAUCACUGGGCGUAAAGGGCGCGUAGGUGGCGACCCAAGUCGAUGGUGAAAGCUCGCCGCUCAACGGCGAGUCGGCCACCGAUACUGGGUUGCUGGAGCACUGUAGAGGCUCAUGGAAUUCCGGGUGUAGCGGUGGAAUGCGUAGAGAUCCGGAAGAACACCGGUGGCGAAGGCGGCUACCUGGACAUCAACUGGACGCUGAGACGCGAAAGCGUGGGGAGCAAACAGG